UACCAGCUCUCCGAGUGGUAGGGAUGUUUAUUGGGCUUAAAGCGUCCGUAGCCGGCUCAGCAAGUCUCCUGUUAAAUUCAGCGACCUAAUCGUUGAGCCGCGGGAGAUACUACUAGGCUAGGAGGCGGGAGAGGUCAACGGUACUUCCGGGGUAGGGGUGAAAUCCUAUAAUCCCGGGAGGACCACCAGUGGCGAAGGCUGUUGACUAGAACGCGCUCGACGGUGAGGGACGAAAGCUGGGGGAGCGAACCGGAUUAGAUACCCGGGUAGUCCCAGCUGUAAACGAUGCGAGCUAGGUGUUGGGGUGGCUACGUGCCACUUCAGUGCCGCAGGGAAGCCAUUAAGCUCGCCGCCUGGGGAGUACGGCCGCAAGGCUGAAACUUAAAGGAAUUGGCGGGGAGCACCACAAGGCGUGAAGCUAGCGGUUC
rnacentral:rRNA from 1 species